rnacentral:lncRNA from 1 species
CACUGAUAGGGAAGAAAGAGCCUGUGCAGAAACAUUUUCAUCUGAUUUCCUCAGUGAGUAAGCAGCUAUAACAAGUCCAGCCACAGCUGAAAUGGGAGCCUUGAAGCCACCUUGAAAGUAGAGACUGAGAAGAGGAUACACAAGAUGUGACUGUCCUUGGGCAAGAUACAUAGCAUCAUCAAGUUGGGACCAUACGGUAGACAAAGAGAAGAACAACAUGAGGUCUGAAAGAAAGGCUGGAAGAUCAACUCCUAUUUGCAUUGACCAGAGACUUGGAGGAGGAAACCUGUAUUGUAUUUGUUUUGUUUUGUUUUUUAAGUGAACCACAGAGAUAUUUAUAUGUAAAACGAGAAUCAUUAGAAGAAUGUGGCUUGUUAAAAACAACAGUAACCAAAACCAACCUAACCAAACAAACAAACAAAAAGCAGAAUGGAAAACAGUGAAAACUAGAAGCCACGAAGACACUAUGGCUGCCAUGCCAGGCAUUUCUGCUUCACUACAGAUCUUUAAUUCGGUGUUGAGGUACAUAUUAACAGGCAAGUCUUCAGAUAUAUGAGGACAUGUAAAGGAGUUAAAUAAACCAAAGACCCUACACAAAAGGAAAAGAGAAAUGUAAUUUAGUUUAAAAGGCAGUGUCUUGUUCUUAGGCAGUGAUUACUACCACCUCCAUUGUAGAGUACAACAAAAAUCCACAACUAAGAGAAUGGGUAAACUGAGUUCAUGUAAAUGAGACUUUCAUGUUUUAUUUUUCCUGUUUUGCAUUCCUUGAAAUAUAAAUAUUUCAUCUAAAUGCCAACGGACCUGUUCAAAAUUCCUACAAGGGGAUGGGAAGAUAGCUCCAUCGAUUAAGAACACUUGCUCUGAAAGCAGAGACACUCAGUUCAAAACCCCAGCAUCCACAAAAACCAUCAAGAACAGUUGUACAUGCCUGUAACCCCAACAUUGAGGGUUGAAACAGGUGAAUUUCCAGCGUUCACUAGCCAUCUUCAGGUUCAAUGAAGUCAUCAUAUCUCAAGGCCAUAAGGCAGAUAACCAUUAAAGAAGACAUCCAAAGUCUUGUUCUGGGCUUCCACGUGUACAAAUCUGUACACACCUGGACAGAGUCACUCUCCUAAGGA